CCUACGGGAGGCUGCAGUGAGGAAUAUUGGUCAAUGGACGAGAGUCUGAACUAGCCAAGUAGCGUGAAGGAUGACUGCCCUAUGGGUUGUAAACUUCUUUUAUAUGGGAAUAAAACGUUCCACGUGUGGGAUUUUGUAUGUACCAUAUGAAUAAGGAUCGGCUAACUCCGUGCCAGCAGCCGCGGUAAUACGGAGGAUCCGAGCGUUAUCCGGAUUUAUUGGGUUUAAAGGGAGCGUAGGUGGAUUGUUAAGUCAGUUGUGAAAGUUUGCGGCUCAACCGUAAAAUUGCAGUUGAAACUGGCAGUCUUGAGUACAGUAGAGGUGGGCGGAAUUCGUGGUGUAGCGGUGAAAUGCUUAGAUAUCACGAAGAACUCCGAUUGCGAAGGCAGUUCACUGGACUGCAACUGACACUGAGGCUCGAAAGUGUGGGUAUCAAACAGGAUUAGAUACCCGGGUAGUC
rnacentral:rRNA from 1 species